rnacentral:rRNA from 1 species
ACACGAGCGGCGAACGGGUGAGUAACACGUGAGCAACCUGCCCCUGACUCUGGGAUAAGCGGUGGAAACGCCGUCUAAUACCGGAUACGACCUUCCGCCUCAUGGUGGAGGGUGGAAAGUUUUUUCGGUCAGGGAUGGGCUCGCGGCCUAUCAGCUUGUUGGUGGGGUAACGGCCUACCAAGGCGAUUACGGGUAGCCGGCCUGAGAGGGCGACCGGCCACACUGGGACUGAGACACGGCCCAGACUCCUGCGGGAGGCAGCAGUGGGGAAUAUUGCGCAAUGGGCGAAAGCCUGACGCAGCGACGCCGCGUGGGGGAUGACGGCCUUCGGGUUGUAAACCUCUUUUACCACCAACGCAGGCUCCGGGUUCUCUCGGGGUUGACGGUAGGUGGGGAAUAAGGACCGGCUAACUACGUGCCAGCAGCCGCGGUAAUACGUAGGGUCCGAGCGUUGUCCGGAAUUAUUGGGCGUAAAGAGCUCGUAGGCGGCGUGUCGCGUCUGCUGUGAAAGACCGGGGCUUAACUCCGGUUCUGCAGUGGAUACGGGCAUGCUAGAGGUAGGUAGGGGAGACUGGAAUUCCUGGUGUAGCGGUGAAAUGCGCAGAUAUCAGGAGGAACACCGGUGGCGAAGGCGGGUCUCUGGGCCUUACCUGACGCUGAGGAGCGAAAGCAUGGGGAGCGAACAGGAUUAGAUACCCUGGUAGUCCAUGCCGUAAACGUUGGGCGCUAGGUGUGGGGACUUUCCACGGUUUCCGCGCCGUAGCUAACGCAUUAAGCGCCCCGCCUGGGGAGUACGGCCGCAAGGCUAAAACUCAAAGGAAUUGACGGGGGCCCGCACAAGCGGCGGAGCAUGU